AGGGGGUGAAAGGACCCAGCUAAAAAAGAGAGGGACAGAGAGAGGAGAUAGAGGGAGGAACAGAACCAGAGAGACGACAGAGGCUGAAGAGAAAGGGGAGGGAGCAAGAGGGUUACCUCAUCUAGAGCUGCUAGUGCACACGGUGCAGGGGAGAAGUUGUGGGAAAGUAAACAGCAGAGGAGAAUUCCAAUCUGUUUUCAGCCACUUGCAGCCCUCGCAGGAGACCAUAAAGAUGAGUGAGCUGGACCCGGCAGCAUGGUAAUAACUGAGAGUUUAUGGUUGAUUACCAGGAUUAAAGGGUCACCAGGGAGUGCCUGAAGCUUCUUGAAGGACAUACUACUGAGGACAAGGAGCAUGGUUAGCAUGUUGCAAAGACUGCAGCUUUGUCCAAAGGGGCCAUUGAUGGAGUGGAGUUGGGGGUGGGUGUGCUGGUUUGUGCCUCUCUGUCUCAGUCCAACAGCUAUAAGGGGCAGCUGAAAGGACAAGGGAAGGUGGAGGAGGAGAGGAUGGGAAUGGCAGAUACCCGUGUGGCCCUUUGGCAGAGUACACACCAUCAUGGACGAUUAAACCCGAGUCUGCCUGAGAGAGCCGGCGGGGCUACAGAGCGUGAGGCCUUGUUAUGAUAGCAGCAGUUCCUGAGACAGACUCCAGGAAGGAUGAGUGAGAGAUUGGCGGCUCAUCCCAGACCCACACCUCUGGCCGGCUGUUUUUCAGCAGCACUGCACAGCUCUUCUACAGCCUCAGGCUAUAAAAAGAGAUUCCCUGGCCUGGGCCUGGCCUUAACCAUUCCAGUUUGACGGUUGCUUCCCGGAGUACAAAAGCUCCUCCCAGGAUGGAUUUCACGCUGCCUCUAUACUCUGAGCAGAAUAAAGGGGGGAGACAGGGAGGAGUGGAGUGAGGGGGGAGCUAAGGGACCUUUGACCAAGUAAUUUGCAUUUUAAGCUAGGGCACUGUUUCUGCCUCAUUUGCCGGAUGUCCAAGUGCCUUUUUUUGAAGACACUCCAUGGACUCACUGUAUCAGAUUUUUUUGUGCUUAUUCACAGUCUAGCACUUCCAACAGACAUUAGCAAUCCGUGCAUGCAUGGCCUGAAGCCACCACAAAGACUUCACUAUCAAUGGGAACCUUCUCCCUUUUGCCACACAUUCAUUCACUCACGGAAACUUACUGCACUCACGCAAUCGUAUGUACACACAUGCAAGGCCAUGGUGUUCAAGUACACAAUCGGCCAUUUGAUAGUGGUGACACGCCUGACAAAUGUUUUCUGGUGUACUGUAUUACACAAUGACCACAUCCCUCUGGGAAUGUCAGAUAAUUAACUAGAAGGAGGAAUUCUGGGAUGUUUGUAAGUUGAGGCUUAUCUACAAUAUUAUUUCCUGUAAGCUCUUCCGAUAUGGACUCCAAGAUCAAAUAAAAAUCACAUAAUCCUGACUUAACAUAUUGAGCUUUGAGUUUUACAUUGAAUAGUGUGAAAAUUUCAUUUGGCCAAUAUUAAAAAGUAUUGUGUGACACUCCCAGAACGCCUUGCUAACUAAGGUGCACAAUAACAUCAAACAAAAACUAUGGCUCAUGGCAACAAGUGAAUGUAGGAAUCCAAUUGAGUCCAUUCACAUGCAUUCAUACGCUGUUGGAACAGCCACCAGGGUCAAUUCAGGGUUCAGUAUCUUGCCCAAGGGCAAAUUGUGUGAGACUGUUAACAUCAGACAUUUUAGAUCUACGCAAAUGUAGUGCAAAUAGCUAUUGUUCUUCUGUACUCUGUGGUCCCAGUUGUAGUUCUUGUAGUGAUACUGUUUGUCUAAGAGCAAGAUCAAGCUAAUGUCUUCUCAGCACUCACAGAACUUUAUCAUAGAGCUUUGACUUGGAAUGGGAAAAAGAUUGAACUCAAUUUGGACACUUUCAUCUUCAUCAUACAGGAUCAUCACACAAAUUAAUGUCAAGACUUUCUGCAAAAUAUUUGAUCUUAUUGGUGGUGAAAUCUUAUAGUUUUUGAGCUAUGAGCAAACACUUGACUUGUGAGGCUGUCUAUUAAAAAGUUAGACAGAUUUUAAUUAAAUCGAUCAGCUUACAGCCUAAUGGGUAGCACUGUGAAGUCAUUGCAAGAAGGUCCCGGGUACAAACCCCGGUCGUCCCAUCCUUUCAGUGUGGAGUUUGCAUGUUCUCCCCAUGUCUGCGUGGGUUUCCUCCGGGUGCUCAGGUUUCCCCCACCAUCAAAAACAUGCUAGGUUGGUUCUCUAGUCAGUGUCAUUUGCCACAGUAGCUGCCCACUGCUCAGGGAUGGGUGAAAUGCAGAGGAAGAAUUUUGCUGCUUGGAUGUGUAUAUGACAAAUAAAGUACCUUUACCUUUA